GCCUGGGUGGCUUGGUUGGUUAAGCGUCCGACUUCAGCUCAGGUCAUGAUCUCACGGUCCGUGGGUUCGAGCCCCGCGUCGGGCU
rnacentral:tRNA from 1 species